UGUAACUGGGCAGGCUCUGGAAACAUCAGAAGCAGCAGCAACCACAGUGCUCAACACCCUCUAACCAUGGAGAGGAAUUCAUGGAGAGAAGGAUGGCAACAACUACUGAAGAAUCUAGAUUUCUGCCUUCCACAGGUACAGGUCGAUCUCCGACAAGUACUGACACACCCUGGCCUUGAAAUGCAGAGAUGCCUAAAACAAAAUGCUCGAGAACCUAAGAUUCCUAUGAUUGGGAUGAAGUCAUUUUUGAAUAUUGGUUUCCUCCGCUAGAAAAUAAAAAGGGCUUUCUUCAUGGCA
rnacentral:lncRNA from 1 species